UACGAAGGGGGCUAGCGUUGCUCGGAAUCACUGGGCGUAAAGCGCACGUAGGCGGAUAUUUAAGUCGGUGGUGAAAUCCUGGAGCUCAACUCCAGAACUGCCUCCGAUACUGAAUGUCUUCGAGUCCGGGAGAGGUGAGUGGAACUGCGAGUGUAGAGGUGAAAUUCGUAGAUAUUCGCAAGAACACCAGUGGCGAAGGCGGCUCACUGGCCCGGUACUGACGCUGAGGAGCGAAAGCGUGGGUAGCAAACAGG
rnacentral:rRNA from 1 species